CUGGGAGGAAAAUGCCCAUGGUGAUCUGAGA
rnacentral:piRNA from 1 species